rnacentral:rRNA from 1 species
UACGAAGGGAGCUAGCGUUGCUCGGAAUCACUGGGCGUAAAGCGCACGUAGGCGGAUUCUUAAGUCAGGGGUGAAAUCCUGGAGCUCAACUCCAGAACUGCCUUUGAUACUGGGAAUCUCGAGUCCGGGAGAGGUGAGUGGAACUGCGAGUGUAGAGGUGAAAUUCGUAGAUAUUCGCAAGAACACCAGUGGCGAAGGCGGCUCACUGGCCCGGUACUGACGCUGAGGUGCGAAAGCGUGGGGAGCAAACAGG